ACAGCGCGAAAUAAACACGAACAAGGGAGGAUACAGGACAGCGCUUGUCCUGUGUUCCUCCCUUGUCCGUGUUUAUUUCGCGCUGUUUUUUCACCGAUGGACUCGGACCAACUAGCUCGCAUUCAUACCCUUUUAUAUUAACUAUACGAUGCGAGCGC
rnacentral:lncRNA from 1 species